rnacentral:rRNA from 1 species
UACGAAGGGGGCAAGCGUUGUUCGGAAUUACUGGGCGUAAAGCGUGCGCAGGCGGUUUUGUAAGUCUGUCGUGAAAUCCCCGGGCUCAACCUGGGAAUUGCGAUGGAGACUGCAAGGCUAGAAUCUGGCAGAGGGGGGUAGAAUUCCACGUGUAGCAGUGAAAUGCGUAGAGAUGUGGAGGAACACCGAUGGCGAAGGCAGCCCCCUGGGUCAAGAUUGACGCUCAUGCACGAAAGCGUGGGGAGCAAACAGG